GGCUUGAGGACCGUAUUCAUGGAAGAGGAUUGAACAGACUACUGAGUUCUUAAGAGAAAAAUGGCACUUAAGAAAUUGAUGGUGAUAUCAAAGGAAGGUUACUUAUUACUCUUGGACUUUGAUGAUGAGGACGAUGACAUAAAAGUUUCAGAGGAGGCUCUUGCGGAAGUAAAGAGCCCAGGAUUUGAUAAAAAUGAGAAUAUAUCGCCUCAAGCAGAAGCAGAUGAAUAUAUGGGAGAUGAAGUAGACAGUAUGUUGGAUAAAUCUGGAGUAAAGAACCCAGCAAUUGGUAAAGAUGAGAAUAUAUCGCCUCAAGUAAAAGGAGAUGAAGACAUGGGAGAUGAAAUUGACAGUAUGUUGGCUACAUCUGGAGGGGUUUGCCCCACAUCCUCUAUAUUGCAGAAAACAAGACUAGGCUCUACCUCUGUAGAUCAAGCACGACUGAAAUCCGUGCUCUCAAAAGAUGCUGGGGAGAAAGAGUGCCAUUCUUCACAAAUGCUGGAUCCUGCAGAUGUUCACCAUCUCAUGAGUAGGGCCUCAGAAGUCCCCCACCAUGCCAAAGGAUUCACAGACCUACCAAAUCUUUGAAAACCCCAUCAGAAAAGGCCCCUUCUGCCCAAGCUGCAUCAUUGGACUGAAAGUGAAUGGCCCAUGUGUUGCCACUGAUGUGAGCCAUUUGCAAGCC
rnacentral:precursor_RNA from 1 species